AAUAGCGUAUAUUAAAGUUGUUGCAGUUAAAAAGCUCGUAGUUGGAUUUCGGGGCAGCCUGGCUGGUCCGCCGCAAGGCGAGUACUGGUCAGCCGCCCUUCCUCUCGAAAGCCCCGACUGCUCUUCGUUGCAGUGGUCGGGUAGUUCGGGACGUUUACUUUGAAAAAAUUAGAGUGUUCAAGGCAGGCCUACGCCUGAAUACAUUAGCAUGGAAUAAUGGAAGAGGACCUCGGUCCUAUUUUGUUGGUUUCCAGGGCCGAAGUAAUGAUUAAGAGGGACAGUUGGGGGCAUUCGUAUUUAAUUGUCAGAGGUGAAAUUCUCGGAUUUAUGAAAGACGAACAACUGCGAAAGCAUUUGCCAAGGAUGUUUUCAUUAA
rnacentral:rRNA from 1 species